ensembl:snoRNA
UUUCCCUGGCAAUGGGCAAAGAGGCACCUUGGUGGUGGUGGUGUUCCUCUAUCAGUCAGGGGCAGAGCAGAUGGCAGUCCUUUGUUCAUCCUAGCUUGAUGCCUGGCUUGGUAACUGAUGCUGUUUUAUGCCCAGGACUCAUAA